GGGGACAUGGUCUAGUGGUAUGACGGAUCCUUAGCAUGUUAGUCGCUCCGGCUUCUACAACAUGGAUCAGGUCCGGGGUUCGAUUCCCCGUGUCUCCA
rnacentral:tRNA from 1 species